UAUACCCGCUAUAAGGCUCCUCAGGUUGGAAGUGGCGGUUGUUGUGCACUGUGCGAGGUAAAUGUAAGCUAGGGUGUUAAUUAAAACUGGAAGCCAUAUUACAAAAACGUAAACUUAACAGUUAAGUUACUUCUAAUUUGUGACGUUAGCUUUACAGGUGUCCAUGCAACAGCUACUGGGCAUCUUUACAGUUAAAUUGACAACAAAAGAUGCGAGAGGUCUCCAUAGUAACCUUUGUUACCCCAAAAACCCAGCGCUCAUCGGAGCGCCGAACGAUUGUCUCACAUUUUCCUCAAGCAUCCUCUGAUAUAUGAUAGAAUUCAUGAUUGAUUUCCUGAGCUGCCCAUGUUCUACUGCAGCAAAGCAUCCCCGAAUUAUCACGCUUCCAGCUCUAUCCAUCAAGGGGCAAGCAUACCCAUCAGAGGCUGUCAUGAGUCCCUACCAAGCUACAGCCCUGCUCAUUGAUUUGGUGCGGGCAGCAUCAUCUCGGGUUCACUCACAGCAGCAGGCGUGUCUGAAUGUCCG